UCCUCAAUUGUGUUCCCAGAUGGUCAUCCAGCACAAACCAUCUGGCGCUCCAGGGUUGGUCAAAUGCUGGUUCAAACCUCUAAUCUACAGCCRAAACUCAAACUACACAGAGCUACUGCCAAGUACAAAAUGCACCCGGAUUUCAGAAAAACAGUAACCUACUGAUGAGCACGGUGGUGGCAGUGUGAUGCUCUGCUGUCCUGCUCUGGGCCCUCGGCGGUUUCCAGCAGCAGGUUGGACCAGGACGAUUCUCCGUCUCUAGCUGUGCUAAUCAUCAGCUGGUACUCUGGAGGCUGCAGCGAGGCGGGAAGCAGCAGGCUUCAGAACCAGGUGUCCUCAUUGUUGUCACCUGUCUGAGCCUGAGACUGUUAUUACUGUACGUACUGAUGUACGUGCAGGGCUGCUAAUUGAUGCUCAGAUUGUCACCCUGGCUUUAAUUAAACCUUCUUAAUUAAUCCCAA